CUGGGAUGAUUCGGAUGAAGAUAAAAUGAGUUGGGAACAGGGGAUAGCGGGGAUGCAUGGGAUUCGGGAUGAAGCUUGGGAUGGUUCGGUUCCGAUGAAACAGAGGAUACGUUAGAAACUGUUAUCCGUGGAUGCGGGAAGGGAUAAGGAUGAUGGGAAGAUAUGCAGAGGAGAGGAUUUGGCUGGGAGAUGGAGUAUAGACAACGGAAAUCACUCAAAGUUAGCUGGAAUGCCGGGAUGCAUGGGAUUCGGAGAGGUGAAAUCAUCCGUGGAUGGAGUCAAUUCCAAACGGGAGAGGGAGAAACGAGGAGUUGGGAAGUUGGGAUCUCGGGAACGAGAUGAGAGCUGGGGGAUCUGGGAGGAGCGUUUGAAGUUUUUAUUCAACUAGGAACAGGCCACCGGUUCU
rnacentral:lncRNA from 1 species